rnacentral:rRNA from 1 species
CGGCCCGCGUUAGAUUAGCUAGUUGGUGGGGUAAAGGCCUACCAAGGCAACGAUCUAUAGCUGGUCUGAGAGGAUGAUCAGCCACACUGGGACUGAGACACGGCCCAGACUCCUACGGGAGGCAGCAGUAGGGAAUCUUGCGCAAUGGGCGAAAGCCUGACGCAGCCAUGCCGCGUGAAUGAUGAAGGUCUUAGGAUUGUAAAAUUCUUUCACCGGGGACGAUAAUGACGGUACCCGGAGAAGAAGCCCCGGCUAACUUCGUGCCAGCAGCCGCGGUAAUACGAAGGGGGGCUAGCGUUGCUCGGAAUUACUGGGCGUAAAGGGAGCGUAGGCGGAUAGUUUAGUCAGAGGUGAAAGCCCAGGGCUCAACCUUGGAAUUGCCUUUGAUACUGGCUAUCUUGAGUGUGGGAGAGGUAUGUGGAACUCCGAGUGUAGAGGUG